ACCUGACUGCUAUCGGAUUGAUACUAAGCCAUGCGAGUCAUUGUAGCAAUACAAGGCAUACGGCUCAGUAACGCGUAGUCAACCUAACCUAUGGACGGGAAUAACCUCGGGAAACUGAGAAUAAUGCCCGAUAGAACAUUAUGCCUGGAAUGGUUUAUGUUCCAAAUGAUUUAUCGCCAUAGGAUGGGACUGCGGCCUAUCAGUUUGUUGGUGAGGUAAUGGCCCACCAAGACUAUUACAGGUACGGGCUCUGAGAGGAGUAGCCCGGAGAUGGGUACUGAGACACGGACCCAGGCCCUAUGGGGCGCAGCAGGCGAGAAAACUUUGCAAUGUGCGAAAGCACGACAAGGUUAAUCCGAGUGAUUUCUGCUAAAGAGAUCUUUUGUUAGUCCUAGAAACACUAACGAAUAAGGGGUGGGCAAGUUCUGGUGUCAGCCGCCGCGGUAAAACCAGCACCUCAAGUGGUCAGGAUGAUUAUUGGGCCUAAAGCAUCCGUAGCCGGCUCUGUAAGUUUUCGGUUAAAUCUGUACGCUCAACGUACAGGCUGCCGGGAAUACUGCAGAACUAGGGAGUGGGAGAGGUAGACGGUACUCGGUAGGAAGUGGUAAAAUGCUUUGAUCUAUCGAUGACCACCUGUGGCGAAGGCGGUCUACCAGAACACGUCCGACGGUGAGGGAUGAAAGCUGGGGGAGCAAACCGGAUUAGAUACCCGGGUAGUCCCAGCUGUAAACUAUGCAAACUCAGUGAUGCAUUGGCUUGUGGCCAAUGCAGUGCUGCAGGGAAGCCGUUAAGUUUGCCGCCUGGGAAGUACGUACGCAAGUAUGAAACUUAAAGGAAUUGGUGGGGGAGCACCACAAGGGGUGAAGCCUGCGGUUC
rnacentral:rRNA from 1 species